CAGCCGCCGCGGUAAUACGUAGGGUGCGAGCGUUAAUCGGAAUUACUGGGCGUAAAGCGUGCGCAGGCGGUUGUGUAAGACAGGUGUGAAAUCCCCGGGCUUAACCUGGGAACUGCGCUUGUGACUGCACAGCUAGAGUAUGGCAGAGGGGGGUGGAAUUCCACGUGUAGCAGUGAAAUGCGUAGAGAUGUGGAGGAACACCGAUGGCGAAGGCAGCCCCCUGGGCAAAUACUGACGCUCAUGCACGAAAGCGUGGGGAGCAAACAGGAUUAGAUACCCCCGUAGUCCCUGUCUCUUAUAC
rnacentral:rRNA from 1 species